GGGGCGCAGCCUGACCAGCGACGCCGCGUGAGGGAUGAAGGCCUUCGGGUUGUAAACCUCUUUCAGUAGGGAAGAAGCGAAAGUGACGGUACCUAAAGAAGAAGCACCGGCUAACUAUGUGCCAGCAGCCGCGGUAAUA
rnacentral:rRNA from 1 species